rnacentral:rRNA from 1 species
UACGUAGGGUGCGAGCGUUGUCCGGAAUUAUUGGGCGUAAAGAGCUUGUAGGUGGCUCGUCGCGUCGGGAGUGAAAACCCGCGGCUUAACCGCGGGCCUGCUUUCGAUACGGGCAGACUGGAGUUCGGCAGGGGAGACUGGAAUUCCUGGUGUAGCGGUGAAAUGCGCAGAUAUCAGGAGGAACACCGGUGGCGAAGGCGGGUCUCUGGGCCGAUACUGACGCUGAGGAGCGAAAGCGUGGGGAGCGAACAGG